UCAGCGGAAAGUAGCUUGCUACUUUGCCGGCGAGCGGCGGACGGGUGAGUAAUGUCUGGGGAUCUGCCUGAUGGAGGGGGAUAACUACUGGAAACGGUAGCUAAUACCGCAUAACCUCGCAAGAGCAAAGUGGGGGACCUUCGGGCCUCACGCCAUCGGAUGAACCCAGAUGGGAUUAGCUAGUAGGUGGGGUAAUGGCUCACCUAGGCGACGAUCCCUAGCUGGUCUGAGAGGAUGACCAGCCACACUGGAACUGAGACACGGUCCAGACUCCUACGGGAGGCAGCAGUGGGGAAUAUUGCACAAUGGGCGCAAGCCUGAUGCAGCCAUGCCGCGUGUGUGAAGAAGCCUCGGGUGUAAAAGCACCUCAUCCAAAAACCCCCAA
rnacentral:rRNA from 1 species